GCCAGAAGGGCGGGGAGGAGGCGGCGGCGGCGGCGAUGCGGUACAACGAGAGGGAGCUGCUGUCUCUCUCCCGGCAGCCAGCCGAGAAGGCGGCCGAGGUCCUCAUGCGCGCCCCGAAGAAGGGAAGCGCCCUGAAGAAGCGUUUGGUGAAACUGGUCGUCAACUUUCUCUUCUACUUCCGAACAGAUGAGGCUGAGCCUAUCGGCGCUUUGCUGUUGGAACACUGCAGUAUCAGCCAAGAAGAAGGCAAAAUAUUUUCCAUUAGUUUCCUCGAAGAACCCGAGAGAAAGUACUUCUUUGAAUGUGAUACAGAGGAGCAGUGUUUGGAGUGGGUCGUGGUUCUCCAGAGGGCGAGAACCGCAAAUCCCAGAAGCAUUGGGUGCAACAAGAUCAACUCCUCCUCCUUCACGGUCGGAUCCGUUCUCCUUCUGCCAACAGCUACGAGUUCAUGAGGAGCAGCUUGGCCUUCUAUCGGGACGAGAUCCUGAAGAUGACAGGAAAGGACCCCUUGGAGCAGUACGGCAUCUCGGGGGAAGCCCGUUUCCAGCUGGGCACGCGGAAGGUAUAACCCCGAGCACUUGGAUCCAGGCCGGCACCUCACCAUACCACAAGCAUCCUUGCACAGCUCCCCCGAGACUCCUGGGUCAGGACUGUACGCCGACCGAGUGAGUUGCUUUCACGAACUCGCAGGAUCUUUGUAGGAUCUCCCUCAUGCCGUUCCAGAGGGCAACGCCACGCACACACCUGCUUCCUCCUAGCUUUGGGGGGGUUGAAACGAGAGUGGAGAUUUGACUCCAGUGGUUGCCGAUUUUCUUUCCUUCCAGGGCGCAGAGAACCUGCUAUUCAGCUCGGAAUCGUGUUUCCUCGUGUGUGUAAACAUGCACACAAACAUCAUUGGCAAGGGUGCUCCUGGAGCUGAAGGAAGGGGCGGGGGGGGGCCUUCUGGGAAUCAUGCUUGGAUUUUCAUUAACAUCCCAAAUCGGGUUUGCUCCCAACUUUUGUGCUGAGAUUUGAGAUCUGCGGUACACCUCCUGUAGAGUUUCCCCGCCGCAGCUCUGCAUGAGUAACUGCUCUGGCUUUGCCCACCUUCUCAUCAGCUGCCUGGUUUGGGUGGGAGCCACUGUGCUGUCCUUUCAAGGGAUACUGGGGUGCUGAAUUGCUCCCCCCACAUCUCCCCCUCCCAGUGAUGUGGGCUGUGUGUUUCUGAAAAGUCAUUGCCCCCACUCCUGGGCCCUUCCCACCCUCCGGCCUCAGCAAUUCUAACCCAGGAUGGGGUAACUCUUUACUUGCUCUAUAAGGAAACAUUUUCAACAGGGUGGGUGGGUGGGAGCACACUCAUUUUAAUUCCCCAAGC